ACCUCGGCAGGACACUUCACAGCAUCGGAUACAAGCACUCCAGAACCAACUGGUAGAAGAGAGGAGGGAACUCCAGGCCCAACUUGAAGAAGAGAGGAGGCAACGUUUGGAGUUGGAUGCGAGGAUGAGGUCCGAGCAGCAGAGGACGGAGGACAUUCUUCGUUACAUACAGUCCGCAACGGGUGUAGCUCCACCACCUUCGCUAUUCACUCCAAAUCCACCUCCAUCUCAGUUUUCCACUCCUAAUCAAUCGGCGGCAUCGAAUGAUCCUCAUGUUUCACCAACUGAGCCUAAUUGCGUGCGUCGUUUGUGAACUUAUUUGUGAGAUAUGUAUUG